rnacentral:rRNA from 1 species
UACGUAGGGGGCAAGCGUUGUCCGGAAUCAUUGGGCGUAAAGAGCGCGUAGGCGGUCCGGUAAGUCCGCUGUGAAAGUCAAGGGCUCAACCCUUGAAUGCCGGUGGAUACUGUCGGGCUAGAGUCCGGAAGGGGCGAGUGGAAUUCCUGGUGUAGCGGUGAAAUGCGCAGAUAUCAGGAGGAACACCGGUGGCGAAGGCGGAUCUCUGGGCCUUACCUGACGCUGAGGCGCGAAAGCUAGGGGAGCGAACAGG